rnacentral:rRNA from 1 species
GUAACACGUGAGUAACCUGCCCUUGACUCUGGGAUAAGCGUUGGAAACGACGUCUAAUACCGGAUAUGACGACUGAACGCCUGUUCUGGUUGUGGAAAGAUUUUUUGGUCAAGGAUGGACUCGCGGCCUAUCAGGUUGUUGGUGAGGUAAUGGCUCACCAAGCCUACGACGGGUAGCCGGCCUGAGAGGGUGACCGGCCACACUGGGACUGAGACACGGCCCAGACUCCUACGGGAGGCAGCAGUGGGGAAUAUUGCACAAUGGGCGAAAGCCUGAUGCAGCAACGCCGCGUGAGGGAUGACGGCCUUCGGGUUGUAAACCUCUUUUAGUAAGGAAGAAGAACUUCGGUUUGACGGUACUUGCAGAAAAAGCACCGGCUAACUACGUGCCAGCAGCCGCGGUAAUACGUAGGGUGCAAGCGUUGUCCGGAAUUAUUGGGCGUAAAGAGCUCGUAGGCGGUUUGUCGCGUCUGCUGUGAAAUCUGGAGGCUCAACCUCCAGCCUGCAGUGGGUACGGGCAGACUAGAGUGCGGUAGGGGAGAUUGGAAUUCCUGGUGUAGCGGUGGAAUGCGCAGAUAUCAGGAGGAACACCGAUGGCGAAGGCAGAUCUCUGGGCCGUAACUGACGCUGAGGAGCGAAAGCAUGGGGAGCGAACAGGAUUAGAUACCCUGGUAGUCCAUGCCGUAAACGUUGGGAACUAGAUGUAGGGGCCAUUCCACGGUUUCUGUGUCGCAGCUAACGCAUUAAGUUCCCCGCCUGGGGAGUACGGCCGCAAGGCUAAAACUCAAAGGAAUUGACGGGGGCCCGCACAAGCGGCGGAGCAUGCGGAUUAAUUCGAUGCAACGCGAAGAACCUUACCAAGGCUUGACAUGAACGAGAACGCUGCAGAAAUGUGGAACUCUUUGGACACUCGUUUACAGGUGGUGCAUGGUUGUCGUCAGCUCGUGUCGUGAGAUGUUGGGUUAAGUCCCGCAACGAGCGCAACCCUCGUUCUAUGUUGCCAGCACGUUAUGGUGGGAACUCAUAGG